rnacentral:rRNA from 1 species
UACGUAGGGUGCAGGCGUUAAUCGGAAUUACUGGGCGUAAAGCGUGCGCAGGCGGUUCGUUAAGUCAGAUGUGAAAGCCCCGGGCUCAACCUGGGAACUGCAUUUGAAACUGGCGGGCUUGAGUAUGGCAGAGGGGGGUGGAAUUCCGCGUGUAGCAGUGAAAUGCGUAGAGAUGCGGAGGAACACCGAUGGCGAAGGCAGCCCCCUGGGCCAAUACUGACGCUCAGGCACGAAAGCGUGGGGAGCAAACAGG